CGGGCACCAAGAACAAUAAUGAAUGGGGUUAAUGACUGUCAGAUUGUGAUGCUUUCAUUUCCCCAUUGACAUCUCCAAUCCCCCAUUUACAUUUCAUAUAAGGAGAAGCCGCUGUCUGGGCCCACAUGUGAAAGGCCAGGCUGGAUUAAGGUAUCAUCGUGAUGGUAUGCUGCCCUAUGGACAGACAGGCAGGAAGAAGACCUAAAUCCCUGUCUGGAGCAGAGCAAGGUCUCAAGCUGCUGUUGGAAUCAACCAAAUGAAAUGAGGUGACACGGGAGGAGAGCAUGAACUCCCUCUGUCAAAAAGCCUAAUGAUUUCUGCCUCGUGACCAUAAAGAGCUCACAAGCCCUCAAAUCGUGUUUCAGUUCUGCAAGCUUACUCCCCGCUACUGUAAGCAGCCACUAUCAGAAAAGGGAGCAAAGAUGGAACAGUAAUCCCACCAACGGAGACAGUUGUCGGGACUUUCCUCCUCUCCUCAAGAAAUACUGCGGAUAAAGUGAUAUCCUUAUUUUCUCUGUCACACUUAAGAGGCAGAAGACGGUCAUUGUCGUGGAACUAUUCUCUUUAGCCGUGUACGUGCGGAUCACCAAAGUGCCUUGUUAGUAUGCAAAACAAUGCAUCAUAUUUUUUUAUCUCGAUUACAAUUGUGAAUGGGGGAGGAAUUGGGAUAUUUCUGCGUUAAACAAUUUGUUUCUGCUUAAAUGGUGACUGAUUUGGUCCCGUGGCCUUUGAGACGAGCGGGGAUGAGGAUUUAUUGAAAUGCACGGCGGAGCUUGUUCCUGGCGGCCCGCUCUGCUAAGCAGACCCACUUCACCAUAAUAAGAGGUCAUCCUUGGGGGAGUGUGGAAAUGUCUAUAAUUAUAAAGAAAUGCUUCAUCAAGAGCUGAGACAAAGUGAGCAGCCCGAGCAAUAUUUAAUAGCCGGCAACUUACUGAGACUCAUAUUCUGAGAAGCAACAUAUUUAAACACCCAACCAUCUAAUGGAAGGACUUUCUAUCUGGUUCCUUGUGUUUUCCUCCCAUCCUCAUGUGCAUGUGUCAUGAGCAUCCAUAUCUGUAUUGGUGGUUGCAUCAAUGUACGCCAUAAACUUGGAGUCUGCCUGUUUUGUGAGGCAUUUUGGAUUUGUUCACCUCCUAGUUAAGAUGAGCUGUAAACCACUUAGUGCUGUGGGCAUCAAGUACUUAAUUGUUUUUAAUAUCAAUGUUAUUCAUCUUCUCUGACAGCUCAAUUGUGGCACUGAUGCGUUGUAAGAUGGACCAGCUGUGCUUUUGCCACAUUUCGCAUUCUGCUUCUAUUUUUGAGGUGCUAUGUUUUCAUACUGAUGACAUCUGAGUCUGAUUUGCUUCCGGGAGAUUACAGCACUGGGCAGGAAUGCCUCCGAGCAAGGACAAAAUUAUUUAGUUUUUUCUAUUUUUUUUAUUUAAAUUGAGCACAAUGCCUCGCUCAGCAAACAUAUCAGAGCAGCUGGCAAUUACCACAUCUCCAGUGAUUGUAUCUCUGUGGAAAUUAAUUGCUAUUUUCAUUUAGUUUUUUCCGUUGACAGGUCCUGACAAGCUGAAGAGAUGCCUCCAGUGAGAGACGUACAAUCGGGCCAGAGAUCACACGCAUUAUGUUCACUUGAACUUCAGGGUGGGUUAUCCUCCCUGAAGACGAGGACAAAAUUGCAGCUGUGAAACCCUUUUCUUACUCACUGAGAUCAUUACUCCGAUAUGACUGCCACUGUAAAUAGUUGCCAUUUAUUGACAAAAACCGGACCUCGGCAUGAUGUUGUUAGAUUUGGUCUUGUGAAAUAGAGUGGACCAACAUCACCAUAGUGUAGGCCAAUGCUUCUAAAAGUAUCGGCCGAUUGUUUUCAUUUUCAUAUCAUCCAACCUGCAAGUAAGCGGCGAGGGUGGAUGUGACUGCAUUUGAGUCACUCUUGGAAUAGGACUAGACUAGAAAUGCGCCAUACAAGCACAACCCAUUUACCCUUUAUGUUCGGUUUCAAGGUGAAUUCUUUUUGAUGGAAAAAGUAGUUCUCCCAAUAAGGACAAGCUGGUUUUAGUUAGUGCAAUGGGUGUAUGGAUGUCCAUUUAUGAACACUGAAGAAAGAAAUAUGAAGGUCUUCUCAGCUAUUUUUUUUCUUCGUUCAUUAAAAAAAGACAAAAAACCAUUAGUUCCCAAAAAGAUGAUGACGAUGAUCACAUGGUUUGAAAUUGGAGCAGAAGUAAAAGGCAUUACAUGCCAUGUCACCGUUAUAUUGACAGUUAACUUUUUCAUUUAAUUGUUUCCUGGUAUUAGUUUUUUCUCUCCAGCCAGGAGCAAGGAUCGCUUACACGGGUCAGAGAAGAGAGGGAAUGGAGUUUCAGUGGAGUCGACAGGUUGCCACAUUCCCCCGUGAUAUCUUCAGAUAUGGCCAGAGGGAGAAAGAAUUAAUGGCAUCACUGGAGGCCCCUUUGAAACCUUCCAACUUGGGAUAAAAUCGCUGUGUACGAUCUCUUUGAUCGGCAAACGGUCAAACGACAGCCCUGCAGUCGCCCAUCUCCCCACAUUACCGCCGGGAGCCUUAUUCCCAUUACUGUUCACACCCUUCCGACUGGCUACUGUUUGAUUUGCUCACCAAACUGAUCUUCCUACAAAUAAGCUUUGUGCUUUGCCGCGAUCUACCCCUCUCCAUCCCCCGUCACAAAUGCUCUGCAGCAGUAACUCCCCCUCUUUGCACGCACCCAGCCGCCCACGUACGUUCAGAGAUAAACAGUAGGUACUGCACAUCGCACGGUCGUAAUUCCAGCAGUUUAACCUUCUAACCCGCCGUAGGCUUUUAAUCCCAUUAGUUUCUUGCCUCCACAAAAACGAUCUCUACAAAGUCAGAUUCCAAAUGUAAACACAUAAAGUGGCCAAUGGCUUUCUUAUCUGAAAACACUAAUGACCAAUGAUCUGUGCUUUUACUUCAGGUGCAGGGGGGGGGGCUCUGAGACUGAAAGUGACUCAUUGAAUUACCCUGGCCCAUCUUGACACAGCGCAGGUAGCAGUCAGGUCUUCAAUAGAGGUAAAGUGACAAUAGGUACGUUAUGAGCAUAAAGGCUGCAUCUUUGCAUGAAAUCAAGCUGUUUAGAGGAGCAAAGACCCAGAGCUGAGCAGGAAACACACACACGCAAGUAUGAACAUGCCUGCUCGAUAGCCUCACACAUGAUACUUUUGCAUGAUUGAAAAAGAGAUAAAAUUUAUACAAUGUUCCGUUCCAUAUGAUGAUUCAAGGAAAGCUACACUUUGCAUUCAUCUUUUUUUACUAAUGACUUUAAGAAGUCAAAUAAAGCCACUCUACCGGCAGUCGUGACUGAUCGUUGUACUGCAAUAACCAUCAGUUUUGUCUUCAGGAAGAGGCCGAACAUCUUAGAGACAGUUCUGUGCAACCUGUUCUUUCAAUAUCAAUUGAAUUAUACUCCGAUCAAACAAAUCACAGCUUGUACCAAACAGGGCUUCUCCAAACAGGGCUGUGAGUAAUGGAUUGGAAAAGACUGUGUUUGAUUACCCCUGCUUGCCGGGGUUGAGUAAGAGCCAUUUGGUUGGUAGUGCGGUGGACAGCCUCCAGAUAUUGACCCUGUCUUUAAGUGGGCGCUGUGCUUUUAGUGUACUUACGUUGGUUUUUCCAGAUCUUUCUCCUCCUGGCAGUUUUGCAAUACUUUUGAUGGCAGACACUGGCUUCCUUUUCCCCACUCUGCAUUAUUGAUGCAUCAGGGAAUGUGGAUAGCCUACUUUUUUUUGUCAUCAUUUUCUAAACCAGUAAGGACAAAGAUAACUAUAAUAGAAAACAUGGGGAUGUAUAUACUGUAUAUCCAUCAACCAAUCCACUAUCCCUAACUUCUCAUGCUUUUCAGGGUGAAAGGGCGUCUGGAGCCGAAUCCCAGCUGACAUUGGGCGAAUGCACAGGGAGUCGUCGCAAGACUAUCGGAAGGCUGACACAACUAAUAAGGCUCACAUUUACACCUACGGGCAAUUUAGAGUCAUGCUCUAACAGGGGUUAGAGGAAACCACGCA